rnacentral:misc_RNA from 1 species
CAGAGUUAAAAACUCACCAAACCCACUGUAAAUGUACCUAUUUCAGCCCCUCCGGCAGGCGGCCCCAGGGCGGGGCCUCAGCCUACGGCGCCUGCCGAAGGUGGCGCAAAUUUGCUCUUACAAGUAAAUCUGAGUCUAAAGACAAAAUAUUA